UACAGAGGGGGCAAGCGUUGCUCGGAAUUACUGGGCGUAAAGGGCGCGUAGGCGGCCUUCUAAGUCGAACGUGAAAUCCCUGGGCUCAACCCAGGAACUGCGUCCGAUACUGGGAGGCUUGAAUCCGGGAGAGGGAUGCGGAAUUCCAGGUGUAGCGGUGAAAUGCGUAGAUAUCUGGAGGAACACCGGUGGCGAAGGCGGCAUCCUGGACCGGCAUUGACGCUGAGGCGCGAAAGCCAGGGGAGCAAACGGG
rnacentral:rRNA from 1 species